rnacentral:lncRNA from 1 species
UUAUCUGUAGGAUAGGCUUCUAAGUGUUUGAUCGUUUAAUCAGCUGGGGUAUGUCUGUGCACCCAAUAUGUGUGAUGUGUGGUAAUUUAACAGAAUCAAGAGACCACUUCUUUUUUGGAUGUAUCUUUGCUGCCAAGCGAUUAUGCGCAUAUCUGAUUAAGUGGAUGAAGAUCCCUGUCCACCCUACUAGUUCAUGGAAUCAACAUCAGCAGUGGCUUUUUCAAAGAAACGAAGGGAGAUCCAAGCAGACUAGAACGCUAAGGAUGAUAUAUGUUGAGUAUGUACUUGCCAUUUGGGGAGAACGAAACAACAACACUUUUGAGAACCUGGUGAAACAAUGGGAACCAAUUGGCAGAGAAAUCACGUACAUAUGUAACAUGAGGGCGGAAGAAAAUAUGAAGAUAUUGAUGCAAAGCCUCUUGUUGCCAGCUAAAUGUGUCUAGUUGUUACUCCAUAUUCUACUCUUCAACUCUUCAUGUAAUAGAAAGAAGUAUAAUGGUUGUGGUCGUAUAAAGCGAGACUAAUUUUGCAUAGCAGAUUGUGUUAGUCUGGCUAGUUUUGUAAUGCAUUCUUGAUAGUUAAUAAAGUUGUUAGUUACAAAAAAUAGCUUGCAAGACAUAAGAUAAUUGGUAAUAUCUUAUUAUGAGAACUUCAAUCAGUAAACUGUAUUUCAAAACAAACAAGCAACAGAGUACAGACAAUGAAAAACUAGCUCCAAUAUAUGACACUGCAGAGUUCCACUACUAUACAUGCCAUUCCUUCUAAACUUGUCAAUCAAAAUAUAAAGAAAAAAAAAAGCUUGCUAUUUCUUCUGAUUCCCUUAUUCUUCCUUAAUUAGUUAUUGUAUCAUCAGUUGCAUCUGACACUGUAUAAGGUCUAAGAUGAAUAUAUCUAAAUCAUCUGAAUUUUUUCCUUUAACUUUGACAACUAGAUGCGUGCAAAUUGACAAUUGAUGAGUGCCAAAGACACCAAUUGAUGAAUUUCAAACUGGAACGGGUAUCUUACCUUAUAACAAAGAAAUAGCAAGCCAAAAGUUCAAUUUCUAGCUCGAAUCACCGUCCUACCAACUUCCCCAAAGAAUUUGCACUACCAAAAAGAGGUUAUACAACUUCGCCAAACAAUUGCCAUCUCUAAAUCCAAUAAAUUCAAGGAACUUUGAAGCAACUUGAGUUUUUACAACCCAGACCAACCUCGGUACUACUUGAUUUGUGGAUAAAUCAAUCUCAAUGUCAUUCACUUCCUCAUUGAGAAUGGUUGCGGAAUCAAAGAUUUUGGUUGGCUUAGGAGCCUCUUCUUGAUCACAACAGAAUCUUUCUUGACCCAUUUAUCAUCUUACAAAACAUAUCCCAUGCUACCAAAGGAAUCAUCACUAUUCUUAUACACUCAAAUAUUAGCAUAAAAUACGAACAAGUUAUUCAUAGACCUCUAUUACAUAAAGUUUCAAUAGUAGACCAAGGUGUUGAGCCUAGAGAAAGGUACUUACCAGACAAUGGCUAUCCUUGAGUUGUCCCAGAUUGAUGAUUCGACCACCAACUUGUGAGCAUUUCUUAAGAGCAGGGUAUCUAUUCUUCUAUUCUACACUCUAGAAUAGGUGUAGAUCAACGAAAUUGAAAUCUGAGUCGUCACAAACUUCAUAUUUUUGGGAGAAGGGUUUUUGAUAGAUGGGUUUUUUGAGGGUUUUGGAGUUGCAUUUUGGGAUUCUUCUCAAUCGAAGCCCUACAAGACCUAGAGAGAGUGAGAGGAGAAAAUGAUUAUUGCGGCGGUAGUUGAAACGCUGUUCCCGAUGGUGGUCUCGUCGGUGACAAGCGGCCGUGGCAGCUACAUUUGAUUGUCCGCCGCCGGCGAUCAGUUCAUGGGGGGAGCGAGAAAGAGAGAGAAAGUGAAAGUGUAGGGAUUAGGGUUUUCUUUUUGGUUUAAAAGGAAAGAGGAAUAGGGUUUGA